GAUGAACGCUGGCGGCGUGCUUAACACAUGCAAAUCGAACGAUGAUCCCCAGCUUGCUGGGGGGAUUAGUGGCGAACGGGUGAGUAACACGUGAGUAACCUGCCCUUGACUCUGGGAUAAGCCUGGGAAACUGGGUCUAAUACCGGAUAUGACUCCUCAUCGCAUGGUGGGGGGUGGAAAGCUUUUGCGGUUUUGGAUGGACUCGCGGCCUAUCAGCUUGUUGGUGAGGUAAUGGCUUACCAAGGCGACGACGGGUAGCCGGCCUGAGAGGGUGACCGGCCACACUGGGACUGAGACACGGCCCAGACUCCUACGGGAGGCAGCAGUGGGGAAUAUUGCACAAUGGGCGCAAGCCUGAUGCAGCGACGCCGCGUGAGGGAUGACGGCCUUCGGGUUGUAAACCUCUUUCAGUAGGGAAGAAGCGAAAGUGACGGUACCUGCAGAAGAAGCGCCGGCUAACUACGUGCCAGCAGCCGCGGUAA
rnacentral:rRNA from 1 species